ACCAGAGUGCGGCUGCCACACCGCUGCUGCCACAGAAGCUCUCACGGCAUGGCUCGCCUGCGCAACGCCAUGCCGCUCCUCCGGCUGCUGCUGCUGCUGGUCCUGCUCCUGCGGCCGAUCGCCCAGGCAGAGGCAGCGGCGCAGAAGGACUCCGGAGCCGAGCCUGCUACUCGAGGCUCCGGAGCAGAAGAUCCCUUCCUGAAGGCCGCUCCAGGACUGCAGCCUGCUGAAGACCCGGAAGGACAGUCUCUGCAUUCCGAACUCACCACAUCGCUUUACCGUCAGGACCAUGUCAGCGCCGAUUCAUCGGCGUUGACGACGUUCCAAGCUCCCGAGGACGCCGCCGCUGACACUCCGCCAAACCGGGAUCCCACCGCAUCAUCACCCGAGUCCCGAGGCCCAAGCCAGAGCCUCGAUGCGGAGUCUGAAGGCCCGGCUCUCCACAGCGCCGCUGAGUCUCUGGUCCAAACUUCUGUCGAGAUGAUGGCCUCGAGCAGCGUGAGCCCGCACGACGCGAGCCAAGACGAGACCGAUGGGGAACAUCUCGAAGGGGUACUGGGAGAGCCGGCGACUACAACCACGGAAGCUCCUCCCGCGGGCGGCUUUGACCUGGAGACGAACCUGCGCGCCGUAAUCGAGCGCAUCUUCAAGGAGGCGCUGCCGCUCGUGUACCGCUUCUCCACCGGCGCCGGCUCUUCUCCCGAUUGCAUGGGCGCACUCCUCAAGUGGGUGCUGGCCAUCCGCAGGCUCGAACCGUGGGCUCUCAGGAUGGUGGAUGCGAUGGGUCGACCGCCGGCGGGCAUCUUCGAGGGCACCAUCACGGACUUCGGUUCAUUCGACCAGUGCCUCGAGGUGCGUGCCCAGGAUUCGUGGGGCGACGAGACGUUCCGCGGCCAGUACUGCUCGCUGUUCCUCAAGCCCAACAUCGACACCAGCAGGCCCAUCAGCUUCCUCAGGAACAGCCGCAGGAACCUGAGCCGUAUCAUGAAGUCCAUCUGGUUUCCGGGAUUCCGCCUAGGCAUCUGCGUGCCGUCCGCCUGCUCCAGGAACGACAUCGACGUGCUCAUAAAAUCCGCUUUCAAGAACUACGGCGUGAACGCAUCAGUGCCUCUUUGCGACGUCCAGAGGGACAUCCAGCUAGACAACCUGCAGCAAGCGUCACUGAUCUGCUUGUGCGUGGUGCUGAGCAUGGUGGGCCUAGGGACCCUGGUGGACGUCUUCCUCCGGAGCCGUCAAGACAAGGACCGUAAGCCUCAUGCGGUACUGGGGGCGCUUACGUCCUGGUCCGCGUACAGCAACACACUGCGGCUGUUCGACGUCUCCGACGACGGGUCACGGCUGCGAGCGCUACACGGCGUGCGCUUCCUCACCAUGCUGUGGAUCAUCCUGGGAUACUCCUACGCCCUGACGCCCAUUCCCAACCGCAGAAGAAUCUUCAACAUGUUUGAUUUUGUCAAGCACACGCCGUUCAUGUUCAUCGCCAACGCUUACCCAGCUGCAGACACCUUCUUCUGUCUAAGUGGAUUCCUGUUUGGCUACAGCGUUUUCAAGCAGCGGCGAAACCUUAGCAAGUGGCUGCCGAUCCUGUUGAUCAGGAGAUACGUGCGGGUCAUCAUACCGUGCUUCUGCCUGCUGCUGGUGUUCUCGCUUCUGGGCCUGGUGUCGUCGGGACCCAUCUGGCGCGACAACUACGCCCUGCUGCGCGGAAACUGCGAGGCCCGCUGGUGGAAGAUACCGGCCCUUGUCAACAACUGGGAGUACAGCCUCGACUCUUGCCUCCCACACUUGUGGUUCUACGCGGCUGACUUGCAACUACUGGUGGGCUUCACUCCAGCGGUCAUCCUUCUCGUCAGGUGGCCCAAGGCAGGAUUGGCACUGACACUGGCCAUGGUUCUGGCGUGCACCGUGUACAUCGCCCUGCAGACACUAUACAGCGACCUCUACCCUGUUGCCAUAUACUUCGCGGAAGACGUCAUGAAGUCUCGUCGCACGCACACGGAAGUGUUCAAGAGGCCCUUCUCGCACGCGGGCGCCUUCUCGCUGGGCCUGCUGCUGGCCUACCUGCUGCGCUCCUCCGGGCGGCUCGGCCAGGACGCCAAGAAGUCCCCGCGGUGGGCCGGUGGGGCGUGGCGCGCCGCCGGCUGGGCAGCGGCCUCAGGAUGCGGCUUCGCCGUUCUCCUGGGGGUCGAACAGUGGCACAAGGGCCUGCUGCCCGGACCAGCGGUUGCGGCCCUCUACGCGUCUCUGCACAAGACGGCGUGGGGACUGCUCGUCGCUUGGGUCGCCUACGUCGUCUGCACCGACCGAAGAGGCAUUCCCGCCCGGUUCCUGUCGUGGGGUCCGUUCGUGGCGCUGAGCCGGCUGUCGUUCAGCGCCUAUCUGCUGCACAUCCUGGUGCUGUUCGUGCGCUUCGGAAGCAUCCGGGAGCGCCUCUACAGCAGCCACUUCAUACAGAUGUGCGAGUUCAUCGUAGUGACGGUGCUGUCGUACAGCGGCGCCUACGUGUUCCACCUGCUCUUUGAGGCGCCCACCACGCAGUUCCUCACCAUGGCGACAUCAGCAGUUGCAGGAAAACUGCUGCUGGCUGAAGAUCCACCGGCUCAGCGACACAUCACCGGCAACCAAAUUGCCCACAUUGGGUUCACCGAGAAGCCGCCCAAGGAGUCCAACGGAGCUGAAGGGCUACACGGCCAAGGGCCGAAGUCCACCCACCUUUAGACCUUCUCUUCACAUAUGUAUAAUGCCGAGUGUUCGCUCCAUGCGCGGGUCUGACAGCAUCCGUUCGGCCAGAUUCUUCCAUCUCCGCCGCGGUAGCUCUUCGGCUAUAAGGCGUUCCGCAGCCGAACACAAGGGCGCGGGAUGGCUUCUCGGCCGUGGCGACCACACUCCGACGGGAGCGGGAUGUAAAAUCGAGCACGUAAUGACACUUCGCUGCGCGUUUCGAAGAACCGCAGAUGGCCAAAAUCAAUCCGAAAUCUCUCGCUACGGCGUCUCUCACAGCAGCGGUGAAUAUAUAUAUAUAGCUUUCAGAAUAUAACCACCACUCAAGCAUGACAGGGGGACUACACGCAGCGCAAUUGACUCUGCAAUUUUGAGCGGGCGCUCCAUAGACGCCGAACACCGAUUGGCAGGUCCUGUGUCAACUGGUUGGUAGAGAACCCUAAGUCAACUAUAAUCAACUGUUCGCGGAAUGUGACGAACAUUUAAGGAUACGUUAGUCACCGGCUAGCGCCAGCAGUUUCCGCCGUAUGUUGCGUAUUAAUUACGGCGCUCUUGAACGCGACAGUGAUCAAAUAUUUUAAAACCUCGAACCACGGAAUCUACGCGACGACUCGCGUUUUGCCAGACAAACUGUUUGCGCUGUCUUGUCCGCCCUGAAGCAUAACAAAGGCGAUUUCAGUUACCUCAUAUUUAGGGCUGUUUAUAUUAGUAAAGUCUGUUCUUCAAUAUCGUUAUAGCGAGAGAAAAAAAUAAAGACCCUCCGCUAGCCUAAUUCCACAACCAAAUCAGCGAGCGCUAAGCUCAAGAUGCCCCCCCCCCUUUUUUUUUUUUUUUUCUUGCUUUCGUAAUUUUUUUUUCUUUUUUUUUUUUUUUUUUUUUGUGCUGUGGAGCUCAAUGUCUCACUUUAAGAGCUUAUUCUCCAAUUGUCGCCCGCGAAAAAAAAAAGAGCUCCCUGUGCGAGCACCAUUUCAAUUUGACGGUUGCCGUGAAAGCAUGGUGCCAAAAAAAAAAGCAACACAAAAAGAAGCCACUCAAAAAGAAAAAAAAAGUUCUUAAAAUAUAACUACAAAACCUUUCCUAGCUAAGUAUAAACAUUGGGUCUUCGUAUUCAUCCUGCAUGGGUCAUAUUCACAAAACGCUCUCGCGCUAGAUGUGUUCGUAAGAGCAAAUACCAGCCAAUACGAAUGCUGCACACCUUAUUAGUGAAGGUGGCUGGCCACUGGCGAAGCACUUCCAAACUAAAAGCUUUGUGAAUUCGGUCCCCUGUUCAGUGAGCGUAAGUCAUUUUUCAUUUGUCCUUACGCCGUCUAAAAACUGCAAAAAAAAUAAUUUGUUACAUCGUUUUCUUCACCAGCAAGUUUUUCCUUCCAUCAUCAAAUCAUAACUGUGCUCACGCAGCGAAAUACAAAAGCAGAAAAAAAAAAAAAGUGGCGCCGAACAUCUUGGCAAACGGUUAUCAAAACGAGUAUGUCACCCUCCCCUUCCCUAUGGACAACAAAUAAUUUUCGCCCGGGUGUAACUACUCAGUGAAGCGCACAUGGAGGCGCAAUUGUUGCUUCCAGUACACGUCACAGUGCGACAACGCGUGACGCUCGACGUAGGCUGGACGUGCUACUUCGUGAGCUGUCGCAGAGUGGCGCCAUGUGGGCAGAGUGGCGUCAUUCCGCGUCAGUGUGCGUCGCACGGCCGCAGGCGGUCGUACACAAGCGGUCGUAGGGAUUCCUCCGGGGCCACUGGAUUCCUCCGGGGCCACUGUUACCUCGAAGAUCCCGUGAAUCUUGGUUAACUUCUUCUCACUUCAUAGCUUCUAUUGAUUUUUUUUUUCAGCAUUGCGUGAGCCGCAUUUAAUAUGCGGCGCCACGAUCGUGCGGUAAGUGUGAGAUCGACGGUGGCAUUUGACUUCGACGGAACAACGCCACACUUGAAGAUGAAAACAACAAUAAGACGAAUAAGCUGUUCAGAAGUCGAAAUACUUGUUAAACGGCUUAACGACGCGUGUAUACUCGAAUAAUCUUUUAUGCAAAUUUACCGCGCGGCGCCUCCGAUUAUUGGCGCACUUGGUCUACGUUAUCGACAGUGUGCCGGACAUGUGCAGCGCUACAGCACAACGAAAGCUUCAAAAUGUUCCGUACUUGCAUUGAGUAUAUUUAAAUGCUCGUUCAGUUUCGGCGUCAACUACAUUAAUCAUCGCAUGUUUGUGCCUUCUUAGAAUUCGAAGUAUUGUGCAUGUACCGGGCUGACUUAAGGUCCUGCAUUAUCGGACAGAACGUCAACGCCAAUUUUGUAUCCAGUGUCUAGACGAAUUAAAAUUAAACGAAAAGUACGGCGUUCAAGCCACCUUAUCCAUAUAGCUAUUUGGAACAGUUGGCAAUUCAUGUACAUAGUUCGAAUAACCAGUGCGUGAAUGGGUGUACGUGUUUCCAUUUUCCACUCGUCUCAACGAGUCAUUUCUUUUCGCCUGACAUGCUGAUGUUACAUCAUAUUUCACUAGUCACAUGAUGUACUUUUUGUUUUUAGCAAUAAACAUUGUUCCAUGC